CAGCCGCCACGGUAAUACGGAGGGUGCAAGCGUUAAUCGGAAUUACUGGGCGUAAAGCGCACGCAGGCGGUCUGACAAGUCAGAUGUGAAAUCCCCGGGCUUAACCUGGGAACUGCAUUUGAAACUGGCAAGCUAGAGUCUCGUAGAGGGGGGUAGAAUUCCAGGUGUAGCGGUGAAAUGCGUAGAGAUCUGGAGGAAUACCGGUGGCGAAGGCGGCCCCCUGGACAAAGACUGACGCUCAGGUGCGAAAGCGUGGGGAGCAAACAGGAUUAGAUACCCCAGUAGUCCCUGUCUCUUAUAC
rnacentral:rRNA from 1 species